rnacentral:tRNA from 1 species
AUUUAAGUAGCUUAAAAUUAAAGCUUGACAUUGAAGCUGUUAAGAUGAUCUGUUGAUCCUUAAAUA